rnacentral:lncRNA from 1 species
AAAAACCCUCAGCAUCACAGCAAACCCUUUAAUUGCUCAUUCUCAAAGUUCACUGCCCACAAACUGGUGUGAUAUUUUAACUAAUGAUUAAAUAGCAAGGCUGCUACAGGCACAUCUUUACUCUCUCAGGGAACUUUAUUUCUGCAGCAGUUUGCAGGUAAAGGUUUGAUUUGAUGAGACCCCCAGCACUCUCCAUCCAUUAGCUGUGCCCUAAUCACACAGCUCAGUGAACUGGGUGCAAGUUGCUUCCACACCUUUCUCAGCAGAGCCUCAAAAGUCCUAAACCAAGACUGCAGGGAGGUGGCAGGGCUUUAAAGGCUGAGCUAGGAAAAGAGAAGUGAGGAAAUCCAAGAAGGGAGUGAGGAGAAAUCCAUGCCAUAUGAAGAGCACAGCAGAUGCUGGGGAGGAAGGCACCACACAGGGUUUGAGAGACCCAAGAACAGUCUCUUGCCAACCCAGAUGAACUGAAAACCACUCAGGGCUCUGCUGAGGGCUGAAUGAGCAUCUUGCCACAUCUGCAGAGAGUCUGAAAAUCAGACAGACAGCACAGUGUCACCCAGAGGACAGCACAGGGAGGAGGAACCACUGCUGGAGUGUGCCUGGAGGCCC